UACAGAGGGGGCAAGCGUUGUUCGGAAUUACUGGGCGUAAAGGGCGCGUAGGUGGCCUUCUAAGUUGAACGUGAAAUCCCCGGGCUCAACCUGGGAACUGCUUCCGAGACUGCACGACUAGAGAUCGGUAGAGGGCGGUGGAAUUUCCGGUGUAGCGGUGAAAUGCGUAGAUAUCGGAAGGAACACCAAUGGCGAAGGCAGCCGCCUGGGCCUGAUCUGACACUGAGACACGAAAGCGUGGGGAUCAAACAGG
rnacentral:rRNA from 1 species